GAAAUUCUAAGGUGUACGCGUUGUUCAUAUUACAGUUUUGCCUUACAAUCUUAUUACAUUGGGACUAGCGUUAGCUGCACGGAUAACAGGCCUUAACUCUUGGUAGUUAGAAGUGUAGCGACCGUGUCCCACCUGUCUUGAACACAGGUCAACACUGAAGAACGAUUAACGGCACCACUAGAAUUUCC
rnacentral:other from 1 species